GGGCAUGAGGGCGCUUUGGAGCAGAUGAGCGGCCGCCAUGAUGGAAUAUAAAGCAGAGGAAACGUCACAGGGAUCAUUUACAGAGGGAGCCGAUAGAAGAGGAACACCAGUCUCCAAACUAAAGAUAAAAUAUGAUGCAGACGCUGCAGGAAUUGUUACCAGACUGUGCCAGCGACACCUCAAAGCUGUGUCCUUCGAUGAAGCUGAGGUUGAGCUACUCGGCGGCAGCUCCAUCAUGUCCUGUCCACUAAAAGCACAUGACAAUGGAUGGAUAUCAGGAACUUCUGGAUCCUGAUUGAGGCGUCAUCGUCAUGUCAUGAGGUCUGAAGACUCUUCUGGACGUGCUUUAACGUCAGUGCAGUGAUGGGAAGCAUCUGUUCCAGUGGGAAUCACUUCCUGGUUGGAAAGCUCAGAGGAGGAUCCUUCCCUAACUUCACUACAGUGAAGGAAAGCAUCAGCACUGACGGUUUUGAAGACAUGCUGGGUUUGCUGUCCGAUCAACAGAGACGUCUACGCAGAUGAUGACCCUGAAAAGGUCCUCCAUGAACACGGAGCUACAGUGAACCGGUUCCUCAUCAGUCCACAUGUAGAACACACUUUGAAAGAAAUAAACUCAAACUGAUCAUUACUGAA